rnacentral:snRNA from 1 species
ACCUAAUGUAGCUCUUUUAGAAUUUUUCUGGCAGGUUUUCAGAGUUUGAUGAGACAACUC